rnacentral:misc_RNA from 1 species
GAUAAGAACGCAGCAAAAUGCGAUAAGUAAUGUGAAUUGCAGAAUUCAGUGAAUCAUCGAAUCUUUGAACGCACAUUGCGCCCGCCAGUAUUCUGGCGGGCAUGCCUGUUCGAGCGUCAUUUCAACCAUCAAGCCCCAGGCUUGUGUUGGGGACCUGCGGCUGCCGCAGGCCCUGAAAACCAGUGGCGGGCUCGCUAGUCACACCGAGCGUAGUAGCAUACACAUCGCUCAGGGCGUGCUGCGGGUUCCGGCCGUUAAACCCCUUUUUUACCCAAGGUUGACCUCGGAUCAGGUAGGAAGACCCGCUGAACUUAAGCAUAUCAAUAAGCGGAGGA